GAUGAACGCUGGCGGCGUGCUUAACACAUGCAAGUCGAACGAUGAAGCCCAGCUUGCUGGGUGGAUUAGUGGCGAACGGGUGAGUAACACGUGAGUAACCUGCCCUUAACUCUGGGAUAAGCCUGGGAAACUGGGUCUAAUACCGGAUAGGAGCGUCCACCGCAUGGUGGGCGCUGGAAAGAUUUAUCGGUUUUGGAUGGACUCGCGGCCUAUCAGCUUGUUGGUGAGGUAAUGGCUCACCAAGGCGACGACGGGUAGCCGGCCUGAGAGGGUGACCGGCCACACUAGGACUGAGACACGACCAAGACACCUACGGGAGGCAGCAGUGGGGAAUAUUACACAAUAGGCGCAAGCCUGGUGCAGCGACGCCGCGUGAGGGAUGACAGCCUUCGGGUUGUAAACCUCUUUCAGUAGGGAAGAAGCGAAAGUGACGGUACCUGCAGAAGAAGCACCGGCUAACUACGUG
rnacentral:rRNA from 1 species